rnacentral:rRNA from 1 species
GAUGAACGCUAGCGGCAGGCCUAAUACAUGCAAGUCGAACGGGAUCCAGAUCAAAGCUUGCUUUGGUCUGGUGAGAGUGGCGCACGGGUGCGUAACGCGUGAGCAACCUACCCUUGUCAGGGGGAUAGCCCGGCGAAAGUCGGAUUAAUACCGCAUGACAUCAUUGAGAGGCAUCUUUCGAUGAUCAAAGAUUUAUCGGACAAGGAUGGGGCUCGCGUGACAUUAGCUAGUUGGUAAGGUAACGGCUUACCAAGGCUGCGAUGUCUA